ensembl:lncRNA
AACAAACCCAAUUAACCUGCACAGAGAGGUGAUUUGGAAAAGGGUGAUGGAGUUGGGUGGGUAGAACUGGAGGACCUGCAGGAGGAAGAAGGGAAGGCUGUCUGGAGUUUCCCCCUCAAGCCUUUCCACUCCAGCCCUAAGAGAUCUCUCUUCUCUUCCUUCCUUAUUUGCAUCUCUGGACACAAAUAGAGGCUCUGGCUCCACCUCCCUUGAAGUUAAUGCCCUGUUCAUCCCUGGGCUGCUUGAAUUUUGAACUGAAAAGAAAACCUUCUGGUAUUCACUGGCACUGCUUAAAGACGGGAAACACUCCUGCACUGUGGAAGGAUCCCAGAUGUCAGCUUCAUGACCCAGCCUGGCCUGUUCAAUGCUGGAUCCCUGGUGCAUAGAAACAUAUCUGGCUUAGAACAGCCGCUCAAGCUACACUUCUGGUUUACAUGAAUCAGACAAGGCCAUCUCUCCUGACUCUAUCACUCCUGCUAAUCACCCUCAUGUUUUAUAUUUAAAAAGUAGAGUCUGAUACGCAGGAAAUGCCAAUCCUAGGCAAUCAGGAAGUUCUUCAUGUUGGAGACCUGGUAUCUGCACAAUUUCAACAGAAAACCUUACUUUUUAGAGAGGUGGAAAUCAUAUGUGGGUCCAGUCAGAGCCUCAGGGGUUUCCAGUUUCAGUCAAACAAGGAAGUGAGGAUCAAAGAGAACCUGAUGGAUGCAGGCACUGACUCUGGCGUGAAUCAGAAUCACCUGGAACCUUGUUUCAAUAAUUCAGACGCCUGGCUCCACCGCUGAGACUCUGAUUUAAUGGGUUAACCAUGGGGCCCAGGCCUCUGAAUUGUUAACAAGCCACCCAGGUGAUUUUAACAAGCCACCUGUGUUUUGAGAAUGACCUGCCUAGGGCCUGCGGGAGGAGUCUGAAUUGAGGAAGACGGCUGGAUUCAGCUGCCCUGGGGCCGGGAGGGACAGAGGCCUGGGAGAUGGUGCCAGUCUCUGUUUGGGUACAGUUGCACCAGAUCAAGCAUGAAGAGCAAGCAGUCGGGCUUCACUGGUGGCUCAGUGGUAAAGAAUCCACCUCCCACUGCAGGAGACAUGGGUUCCAUCCCUGAUCUGGAAAGAUCCCACAGGCCUCGGAGCAACUAAGCCCUGGUGCCACAACUACUGAAUCAGUGCUCUAGAGCCCAGGAGCUGCAACUACGGAGCCCAUGUGCUGUGACUUCUGAAACCCUCGUCCCCUAGAGCCCAUGCUCUGCCAACAAAAGAAUCCACCGCAAUGAGAAGCCCCUGAACUGCAACCAAGAGUAGCCCCUGCUCUCCUGCAACUAGAGUAAAGCAUUUGCAGCAAUGAAGACCCAGCACAGACAAAAAUAAAUAAAAUUAUUAAAAGAAAAAAGAGCAAACCAUCACCACAGUUUAGGACCCGCACCCUCCAAGAGGCAGCCGAGCAUUUGACCUUUCACCCUGCGCUGUGACCUCUGUGGUCAUUUCUGGGAGAAAAUAUGGACGUGGCCUGAGUUGCUGUGAGUUCUGCUGUGGCUGGGGAGGAUGUUCAGAACAGGAGAUAGUCUGGCCUACUGCAAGUAUCUAAAAAUAGAGCCAAGCCAGCGAGAAGCCACCUGGGUAGGGACCCAGAGGCCCUUGCAGGUGAUGGAGAGGCCUCUGAGGCAUUGCAGAGACAACAGAGAGGCCUCGGAGGCGAGGAGUCCUCUGUAAGUCACAGCUUCCUUUCCACACUGCCUCUGGUAGCACCCACCGCGUCAGGCACCUACAUGACUUGACCCCAAGAAAAAGCCACUCUUCUCCAGAGCAGCCAGUCAGGCUGGCAGGGUUCGGUCUCACUGCCAUGAGUUGGGCCCCAGUGGUCCUUGGGAGCGUACCCUGGCACACCAGGAGGGCUUUGUUUUCAGUCCUAAUAGGACGGGUCCCAUGGAAUAGCUGAAGCAAGUGCUUAAAACAGAGGGCCCUGUUUCCUGCUCCCACCCUGCCCCUGGCUCACCCUGCUUUCAGCCCCACCUGCUGUCGGCCUGCCAGGAAGCAGACAACUGACUGCACCUGGGCAGAAGGGGAGACAUUAUUGCAGUGAAAGUACCCAAGACGAAAGGAGCUUAAAUAGAUGUGUAUGUCAGAAAACAGAGCUCUUGGAGGCAUGGCUGUGUGUGUGUGUGUGUGUGUAUGCACGCGUACAUGCACUUUAUCCUGGAAUAAAUUUUUAUUGAGCAUGUACCACGUUGAUGAGGAGGAAAUGGCAAUCCACUCCAGUAUUCUUGCCUGGAAAAUCCCAUGGACAGAGGAGCCUGAUGGGCUACAGUCCAUGGGGUUUCAAAGAAUUGGACAUGACUGAGCAUGCAUGCAUGCACUAUGUUGAUAGUUCCAUGCUAGGAACCAUUUGAGUCCCAAAAGAGCAUGCCUGGUCCCUGCUCCUGAAGAACUGACAAUAGAAAUCACUCGUUCACUUCCUGAGCCUGACUGUGUGCCAGGCACUAUUCUCAGUGUCUUACAAUGUCCUAACUCAUUUCUUUUUCACAGCUAUCUUCUGCAGUGGUUACAAGGUAGUCUCAAUUAUUAUUAUUCCUAUUCUAAAGAUGACACUGGGGCAGAGAGAGACUAUGCUAUUUGCCCUGGGUCACAACUUGCAAGGGAUUGAGCUGGCAUGUGAAUUGGCACCUGGAGCUGGGCCAUCACCCUGGCACUAAACUGUCCUCAAGGUGGUUGCCACAGCCUGGGGGCUAGGAAGAUGCUUCCUGAGGCCCCUUCCUCCUCCUGGGAGUUCAUGAAGUAAUGAGAUUGGUUUUGGUAUAAAAAUAGAGCCAUAGGCUCUCAAGUUUAAAGGGAACUCAAAUGGUGUGGCAUGAACAACCCAGCCAUUCUCUGGAACUUCGUAUCCAAAUAAGAGUCACCCUUUCACCUUUAGAAGUGAUGCUGUCAUGGCUCCAAACAUUCUUGGCUUUCCAGUUUUGGAGUUGCUUCCAGAUGCAGUUUUUGAGCACGACAAGAAGUCUCCAGAGAGUUACAUUAAAAAAAAAAACACAAAACUUUUUUUUUCCAAACACAGUGUUAUUCCCUACUUUAUCCUACAAAUUAUUUUCCAGACUUAACUCUGAAUACCUUUUAACUAUUUCUGAAAGUCAGAUCUGCUGUAAACUGUUCAGGGCUUUGCCACCACUGAGGUUACUCAAAAGAAUACACCAGAGGCUCUAAAAGCUAUUUCAUGGGAAAAGUUAAACAAAAUCAAACCCUCUGAGCAGUGGCAGCUUGGUUAGAGGUGGGCAGGAAGGUAUCAUCUCCUGUUGGGACCGUUGGAGGAGAGUUGGAUGCCUCAAUUACCCUUGCUGGUUAGAAAAUCAAUCUCACUGCCUUAUGGUCAUCUUUCGUCCACUCCUAGC